rnacentral:lncRNA from 1 species
AAAUGACCUUAGUCGGUGUGCCUAGGUAAACAUUUAAAAAUCAUAUAAUUUUGACCAGGUCUUCUGGCCUUCAAAGCAAACUCCUUGAGAUGGAAAAAUACUACGAGUGUUGGUGGGAGAAUCAGAUAUGAUCUUUUACAGUUUGUGCAUAAAUCUGCAAUUAUGCUUCCUUCAAACCCUAAUGCUUGCACCUCAUUUCCAUUUUUAUAAUUUGUUUACAGAAUUAAAGUAUGUUAUGCAGGUUUGAGAGAUACACAUGUUGUAGACAAAAUGCUGUGUGUGUGUCUGUCUCAUGUAGUCAUUAUCUAUGAUGAUUAUUGGUAAAUAUGAAAAUAGCAUUCAUUUUCCUAAUUUAAAAUGUAAUUUCAUCCAUCCAAAAAACAAAAAUCAAUGUAGGCAAAAAGACCCUAAAUUAUUUUUUGCCUGCAGUUGGUGAGUAAAAUAUAUAAAACAAUUCUUUGCCAAAUAUGCUUAUUUGUUGUGGUUAUAAUGAUACUGUACUCUUAAAACCAAACUACCAUUGGCACCACUUGUUUUUAUUCUUAUCUUUCUCGAUGAUGUGUACUUAAUGACAGGUCAGUACACAACAUUGUCAACAUUCUUUACUUUUAUCUGACUGCAUUUUUCUCCUACAAUGCUUUUUACUUACAAGUAUAACUAAGCACAGUGACUGCCUAGGAAGAGGCUAAGUCCAAGUGAUACACCCUAAACCCAAUAGAGCUUUACCUGAUUAACUUGUACAUUAUUUAUAUCCUUUUAAAUUUUUUAUUUAGUGGUUUUAUUUUAGGUUGUCGAGCUGGAAUGAUAAAGAUGUGGUCUGUUGAAAGCUGCCAGCUAAUAGGGGAAUUACGAGCACAUGCAUCUCCCAUUAAUGCAAUCACUACCAAUUCAACAUGCAUCUUUUCGGCUUCAAAUGACUGCACAAUUGGCAUGUGGAGAAUGAGGACCAGUUAUGAUGUUUCUCCAGAGUUGUCAGACGCCUCAUGACCUGAUGCUGCUUCCAAAUACUAAAUGGAUGUUUUAAUAAUUUGUAAUUAAACACAUUUCCAAGGAAAUUUUGUUUUUUCUGAAGGAAAAUUCUAGAAGAUCUUUAUGGUCCCUUACAUGAGGCUUAGAAACUUGGGUUCACAAAUAAUGACUUAUACUAUUGUGUGAACAGGAAAAUGUUAUUUAUUUUUUAUUGUGAAAUUGAAUAAAAAUAGAUUUAAGAUAUAUACAGCUGUCUUAAGUAAAUUUUAGCUUCAAAAUGCCUUUAGUAUUUUGAUGUACAAUAAUAUAUACAGAAACAAAAGAAUAAAAUUAAAUACAGUAUUUUCUUAAGUAAUACAGCAUAUCCUCUAAAUAUAAAUUUAACAAUAUUUGAAUCCAUUGAGUACCAGUAUGAAGGUGCAUCUAUCAAUAUUUUUUAAAAUAUGAAUUCAGUGUAGAAAAUCAAAAGAACAAAAAAUAGGGUCAUCAUUGGGAUAGGGUUUUAAAUGCUUUUAUAUGCAUUUUAUGUAAAAUUUUAAAAUCUUGUUGAGUGGAGAUGCUAGUGGUGGGUUUGUAGAGCAACUUAAAGAAUUAAAAGAUCUGAACAUAAUCUCCAGAUGAACAUCUUAUCAUGAGUUGAAUACUAUUAAUUAAUUGAUGAAGUUUGUUGUCACGUAGGCGUACCUCCAAAAUCCAGAUUCAAUCUAAAUUUAUGUGAAAUCCAUAUUGACAGAAAUUUGCUCUUUUUGGGCUCAAAAAGCCCAAAAAGUAGACUUUUUUUUCAGACAAGGCAGGCAAAUUUGUUCAAAUUUGCUCUUUGACAAAAAAAUGUCAAAUUUGUUUUUCAUAGGAGGUGAUACAAAAUUCUGUUAUGCAUAUUUAGACAAAUAUAUAGAUUAUUUUUUGUGCAUAAUUAUACACACAAAACUGUAGUGAAAAAUUUACUGAUUUACAUUUUUUUGUAGCAUAGGAUGGUGGUCUCGAUUACACAGGUAGCAAAAGGUCGAUAUGGCGCUAUAUCACGUUGACUUAAACGUCAGCAGUCACUUGGAUUUGGUCUUUUAUGUCAUCAAUGUCCAUGAUUCAUGCCAUUUUCACAAAUACAGACUAACUAUUCACUUUAGGCUACAUUGCUGCAAAAUAAAAAAUCAUUGGUAUGCGACAGCAUUUAAAUCCUUAUGCUUAGAUUUCAAUGCUUUUGUCAUCUCUUUCCACCGCCACUCUUAUUUUAUUCAGAAACUUCCUAAAUAGUCUUCCUGGCUUGGUGCCUUCUUUUGAUGGUAAAGAAGCUCAUCUGAUCUCAUCCUUGUCUAAUCUACCCCAUAUUACUCUGGCAACUUAACACUUUCGUGCUUUGGGCGAGCGAGCGCCAGACCACCCCCGAAGGUGGGCCGGGCAUUUCACGUGAGCGCGCGGUAAUACUGAAAAGCGUAUACUCUUUUUCAAUUUUGUCACCUCAAUUCUCCUAGGUUUUUCAUUUUGGUAUCAAUGUGUUUGCAAUAGUUCCCUACAUGAGUAUAUGCAUAUGAAGUUCAAACGCCUGGCGUACCACCUGCCCCAAACCGAGAAAUUGGCCGCACGUUACCCGUGAGCGCGCAAGAGCGAUAAAAUGUGUAUACUCUUUUCACUUUGGUCACCUCAAUUCUCAUCCUAGGUCUUUCAUUUUGGUAUCAAUGUGUUCGCAAUAGAAUUCCCUUCAGAAGUAUAUGCAUAUAAUGUCUUAAGACCCCAGUGUGCCACAGCCAAGCCGAAAGCAGGCCAUGCGUUACCCGUGAGCGAACACGCACUACACCCCCAUAUCCCGCUCACCAAUGUUUAGUAUCUAUUUCCGGCUGAUAACAUCAAUUUUUGUGUUACAGCGAACAUUUUGGUAUCAAAUUGUUCCCAAUGGGAUGCUUUAAAGUGAUAUAUGCAUAUACGGGCAUGAAAUAUAAGGGCACAAAAUAUAAUUUCAGCAAACUUUGUGUAAGAAAUAAUUGUACAAAUCCCAGAGGAGUGCUAGGUACAGGACAGGUGAAGCCUGGUAUUUCUAUAAAACUGUCUACAAAGGGUGGAGUAUUGUCAGUAGACUAGGCUCCAUCAGAACUUGGUGGGGGUACGUUUGGUACCCGCGGUAUGAGUUCCAAUACCACGCCGUGCACUGUGGCAGUAUAAACAUCAUAAUCCUUGCUCCCCCCUCACUUUCAAUUUCAUCAUCAUCUGGUGUUUCCGUUUCAAUAAAUUCACUAUCUAAAACAAUGUCACUAUCAGCACUUUCUAUAUCAGAUAAAUCACAUAUAGCCUACUGUACUUUUGGUGUACUGUACAGUAAGAAAUAUAGCUGAGUAAAAUAGUUGGAACGUUCACACGUUUGGGAUGCGAGGGAAGGCAGGAGUGGUCACUAGCAUGGGAUGAUAACAAUGGGCCUACCUCCUGGAUUGCGCUUCUUUGUUGCCACAUGGGCCCUCACAGAAAAUGGAAAGAUGUUGGUGCCAAUUUUAAAACCAGUCCCCCAAAAAUCAGAUAAAAACCUGAAUUUUAGCAAAUUUUAAAAUCUUUUACAUCAUUCCGUCAUAUUCAUCUAAUCAAUUUUUGACGCCAUACUGCAUCGUCCCCACGCGAAAAUGUUAACAUGCAGAGAAUAUACAUGAACAAAAGCUAAAGGACAUGUUUAAUAAAAGAUCAGACCACACUCACAGGAAAAACUUAUGGUUGGUACAAAAGAUUUGGAUGCUCCAGAAAAAAGUUGCAAACUUGUUUGUGCAAUGUGUAGUACAGUACAAGCUUAGUUGAACAUUAUAAAAUAUAUUAGCAUUAUCUUGAAAAAUAUUUAUGAAUGGAAAAGCAAGAUGAAAACAAAAAUGAUAAAAAUUAUGUUGUGAUGAAACAAAAAUCUGGAUUUUAAUUUGUCCUCUCAUAACUUUUUUUUUUUUUUUUUUUUAAUUCCAAAUUUCAGAGAGAAUUCAAUGUGCAAAUUUGUUUCGUUGUUUAGGGAGAUAUGUUAUAGGGCAGUCUGGAUUUGGGAGGAUGCAUCUUUAUGUUCUUGGAAGUUAAAGUACUGUACUGUGUAAAAAUCAUAUCAAAGGACAAAUAUUUUCUAUUGGAAAUUUAUUUAUGACUAAUUCGUAAUUGUGUAAAAAUUAUAAAAAGUACCUCUGUACAGUACCAUAAUUCAAAGUAUAGUUCAUUUUAAGGUGUCAUAAAUUUGCCAUAUUAUAUUUCAGAGACUGAUUCAAACCACACUAAUUUUAAGUUUGGCAGGUUUUAUGGUAAUUAUGGCUAAAUUAAAAUUACCAUUAUCAUACUACCAGUAUUAAAAUUUUAUGAUAAAU